AUACGAGGGGUGUAAGCGUUAUUCGGAAUUACUGGGCGUAAAGGGUGCGUAGACGGCGCAUUAAGUCUGUUGUUAAAUUUUUCGGCCUAACCGAAAAGCUGCGAUGGAAACUGGUGUGCUAGAGAAUGAGAGAGAGAAGUGGAAUUCCCGGAGUAGCGGUAAAAUGCGUGGAUCUCGGGAGGAACACCAAUGGCGAAGGCAGCUUCUUGGCUCAUUUCUGACGUUGAGGCACGAAAGCGUGGGGAGCAAACAGGAUUAGAAACCCCGGGAGUCC
rnacentral:rRNA from 1 species